rnacentral:rRNA from 1 species
UACGAAGGGGGGCUAGCGUUGCUCGGAAUCACUGGGCGUAAAGGGUGCGUAGGCGGGUCUUUUAAGUCAGGGGUGAAAUCCUGGAGCUCAACUCCAGAACUGCCUUUGAUACUGAAGAUCUUGAGUUCGGGAGAGGUGAGUGGAACUGCGAGUGUAGAGGUGAAAUUCGUAGAUAUUCGCAAGAACACCAGUGGCGAAGGCGGCUCACUGGCCCGAUACUGACGCUGAGGCACGAAAGCGUGGGGAGCAAACAGGAUUAGAAACCCCGAGU